UUCGGGCUCCACCGCCUCCGCAUCCAGGUUCUCCGAUCCGGCCCCGUACCGCGCCGCUCAAACCCUAAACCUCUCCUCUCCAUCGGAGUCUCGCCGCCGCGCCAUGGCGGCGGAACCGCCAGAGCCCGCAUCCUCGCAGGAUGCCCAGCUCGCGGCCUCCUCCUCCGCCGCUGUAGACGGCGUUGGCGACCCCAACCCGUGCUGCGCAAAGCUGUGGAAGAAGUACCAGAAAUUGGAGACGAGCCGGACGGCGCUGCGGGAGGCGGUGAAGCUCCUGCAGGCCGAGAACGAGAAGCUGCAGAAGGAGAACUCGGAGCUCAGCAAAGGUUCAGACUCUGCAGUAUACUACGAGGACAUGUAUAUUAACUUCAAUAUUGCCAAGGAGAUCGUCUUCCAGAUAGCGGGUUGUACCUUCUCGCUGCACUUCCAUCACACUGAUUUCAUACAUGCUUAGUAAUCAAUUCUUUGUUCUAUUUUCUCAUGUAGGUAUGCAACCAGCAAAUGUACGAGUUAGGCCAAAAGACAUGUGCUGAGAAAAAGUUUGAUGCAGGAAUUUAGAAGCUGAAGUCCAAACUUGAAUAUAUAUUUUUCUCCAAAAAUGUUCAGUUGAAAGUGGAGGGCUCUGCGCUAGAGAUGUGGCUUUAAACAAAUAUAAGAAGAACAGGGUGCUUCGUUUACAGGAGAUGGGUACCUGCCUAGAUGAAUAUGGAGGUGACAAAGCUGUAGAUGCUAGCACCCAAGACAACCAUUACUGACAACAUAUUUGGUGGAAUGGUCCCAAACCAGUAUGAUAAUAUGAUCGCUGUAACUGCUGGAAACCAAGGCGAUGCUGAGCCUUUGGAAAAUGAUUGGAUUAGUCCCCUGCUAUCGAGUGGCUUCAUGGGGAUAAUAACUACAAAUGUGAUGGUGAUUAGUACGAACCACGGACUAAUACCAUGGACGCACACUUGAAUGGCUUCCAAAUGCAUGGACGUUAAUCGCUAGAUGGCAAGCACUAGUGCAUUACAAAGUCUGGGUCGUUGCUAUGGCCUCAAGUGGGACUGCUGCGUUGCAUGCAAAACAUCGGCGGCGGUAAAACAACCUCUAUGUAAAAGGAAAAGGAGCAGGAGGGUCAAUGGUAACUGUUUGCAUGCAAAGGACAAGCAUAUAGCGUUGGACGGUGCUUGGACGGGGGUGCAUGCGCACCGCAUGCAAAGGAGAGCUAAAGCUCUGUACGGUGCCAUGCAUGCAUGGGCAUUUAAUGUGCGUAGAAAGAUAAACAAGGAAGUAGGCAUGAAUCAGUUGUAGAUGCAAAGGACAAGUUCCUGUACAGUGCGUGCAUGAAUCAGUUUGGACGGUGGCAUGCAUGAAAAGGACAACUACAUGCAUGCAUAUUCAUUUAACGCUACACUGAUGCAUGCACUUGUGUGUACUAUGUAAUGAGCAUGCAUGCAUAUUCAUUUAUGUACUGUGUAAUGCAUAUGCUCAACCCAAACAAGGAAGUAGGCCUUGGUAAAGCUGUAAAUACAAAGGACAAGUUCCUGUACAGUGCGUGCAUGAAUCAGUUUGGACGGUGGCAUGCAUGAAAAGGACAACUACAUGCAUGCAGAUUCAUUUAAUGCUACACUGCUGCAUGCACUUGUGUGUA